AGCUUUGCACAGUGGCACUAUCGUAGCCAAAGAGGUUUAUCCAAGGCGCGAUCAUUGCUAAUUGAAAACUUUUCCCAAGAAAAGCAUUCAAAGGAAGAAGACAUCCAUAAAAUGCUAA
rnacentral:snRNA from 1 species